UCCCUGGAGGACUAGUGGUUAGGCCACAGUGCUCUCACCACUGUAGCCUGGGUUUGAUUCCCGGCCAGGGAA
rnacentral:tRNA from 1 species